ACAUUAUCUAUUUUGGGUAUUUGUUGGAUUAAUUUAAUUUGUUGUAUAAUAACAUUAGUAUGAACAGUUGCAUCAUUUUCCAUUUGUACGCUCAAAUUUUAAACACGUGUGUACGUAUGUAAAGCUUGUAACUACACCUUUAUAGCGGUUAUAUGUAUAUAAUUACAUAAUGCCUUGAUUGAUUUCUUGUGAUCCAAUUUGUUUUAAUUAUGAAUUAUAAUUAUUAAACUAUGUUGAGUUAAGAUUAAAAUGACAUUGUGAUAUUGAAUGGAUGCAAUUUUAUCACAUCCCUAAGAACUAUACUGGAG
rnacentral:lncRNA from 1 species